GACAUCAGAAAAUUCAUAAGAGUAGAGAGGUCUUUUACUUUCUCCUCUGCUCCCUGUGAAGGGAAAGGGAGCCACUUACCUUACCCCAAGCCAAGUAAGGGACUUUAAGAGGACUACGAACAAAAUGAGUAUUGUCUCCAAGAAAGGGGAUUAGGGAACCCACCCUCUGGCGUGAGGCCUACUGUACUCCUGAGGUAACCAUAUCACAGGAAGGCACUGUGAGAGAAGUUUCUAGAGAGAAACUAAAGAGCAUGCCAAGAAGCACAUACAGACUGGAGCCCACCACUCACCCAGGGACGUGUGAGGACAGGGGGCUGGCUGGAGCCACCUGUGGAACUGGGUGAAGAGAGACUGCGCUGGAGCAACCUGCACCAACUUGAGUCUCCACAGCCCACAGGCCAGAGGGAUGGGCCAGUAUGAGGUAUGUGAGGGAUAUCUUCCCAGAGAGUGACCUGUGGAGCUGAGGGGAUUCCAGCGCUGAAAAGCUGGAGAUUUACAGAAGGGAGUUUUGUCAGAGGUCAUUCAGAGAGCACGUUGCUAGGGGCAGGGACAGUGAGUGCAGUGUGAGGGCCUCCGUGUGGAGGGAAGGAGAAGGAAGGACAUCUCCAAAUGCACCUAAACGUGUCCCACCAAACAGACAGGAGUUGGUCAGUGGUCACCUCGACAGAGGGCACCGGCAGCCAGAUUCAAGUAGCAUAAACCAUCACACGAGGCCUUGCCACUUUUUCUCUGGCUCUCCCCGGCCCCCAACCUGGAGGAGCUGCCAGUAGGAAGGAACCUGUGGAAGAAAAGUAAAAAUAAAUGCAGAAAGAAGUCCCAAUCUUUGCCUCUUAUGCCCCAGGACAUCAUCUCCCACAGCCCCUGGACUGAGCAGCUGUAUUAGCGGCCAGAGCCGGAACCCAGCCAGACCCUCUGGAGAGCAACUGUGUACACAGCUCAGAGGGAAGCUCAGGAAAUACAUUUAGUCCACUUCUAAGCCACUGAGACUGAUCACCCAUUCAUCCAUCCCUCCAUCCAUUCCAUUCACCCAUUCGCUCAUCUGCCUACUCCCAAGUCUCAGGCUCUGCACAUGGCUUAGAGAUUCAUUGGUGAAUAAAGCAGACAAGACCUCUGCCCUUGAGAAGUUUACCAUCUAAUAAAAGAAAACACACUUUAAACACAUAAACAUGUAUUUACCAAAUUGUGGUUCAUGUUAUGGUAGUGGCAAUAAACAAACAAAUAACAAUGACAACAACAAAUCCAGAGUACGGUAAUAAAAUAUUGUGUGUGUCCGUGUGUUGGUGCGAGACAAUCCACUGGCAAAUCCCCACUUAACCACUCCAGCAGCUGAAAAUACCCCAAGAAAACCCAGAAAUUAUUAUGCAUUAAAUUGAGCAUUUUUAUCUUAGGAGAGUGUGUUCUUGGAAGGGAAGUGAGGGUGAAGAGAAUGUGUGUGUGUUUGUGUGUAUGCUUACUUAAAAGAUAAUUUUGUUCAACAAACAUUUGCUGAGAACCUGUUUGAGGAAGAAACAUGGGAGACAGUGCUUCAAAGAGAGUUUCAUUCGCUAAGUCUGGACGAGGAGUCUCUGGGUAUGUAGAAAUGUCUGAGCCAUUUUUAGCAGCUGAGCAGUGAACUUGCUUUUGGUCAACCAGCCCUGGCAUGUCCAGGCUAGGAACAGACUUGGUGAAGCAGGAAGAAAUGCCACAAAGAUGUUACCAGAAUAAUUUAGAUUUCUUCUUGAGAUAGACAACCACCUGACAUGAAACUUAGCUUUAGACCCAUCUCUUCUUGGCUCUUUUCCUUUCCAACUCUUGGUCUAAGGUAUGAAUAACAAUAUUGCAUCCCUACUAUGUGGUGGAAGACUUCCUAGAUGAUUUUAUGCAUGAUGUCAUUACAGCAAGCUGAGGGUAUUAAUACCUUCAAUACAGGUGAGGAAGCUGGGGCUCAGGCUGUUCAAGCCCCCACACUCCACGCAGAUCCAGGUUUCUGAUGCAUAUAUGUCCCUGUGCAAUCACACACUUUCUCCUCCACCCUACCGUGCCUCCAACCAGAUCCUAGACUUUGAGCCUCUUGAGGCUGAAACCACAACUCAUUCAUUCCUGUAGCCUCCAAGCCCAGAACGGUGAGGAAUGCAACCACUCACUCACCUAUCCACCCCAAACCAGUAUUUAUUGAGUGCUAAUUCAAUGCCAGGACCUGUGUCCCGUGUUUUUAAAUCUUUGAGAAAUGAAAGAGGGAAGAGAGAGAGAAAAGGAGAUAAAGUAGAUACACAGCAGGGCUCAGGAAAGAUGGCUGCCGAACCUCAGGCUGUACAGGAGGAGAGGGUGUCAGGGGGGCUGGGCAGAGCCCCCGCUGGGAUUUACCCCUCGGCUCUGGCACUAAUCCUCUACCUGUCACUACCUCUCUGGGCUUCAGUUUUCACAGAACUUUCCAGUGCUCCUCAGGUGCCUUUUUGACAGGUAAUUCUGAAAGCUUUGUAAACUGAGCAGACCAUGUGGCCUUUCACUGCUGUGGCCUUUCCAUGAUUUGACUGAGUUCUUUUCAGGAGGAAGAACUUUUUUUCUGAAGAGGGAUUUAGAUGUGCAGCCAGGGUUGAGAACUACCUGUUAACAGGUCUUGUUUUGUUUUCCCCAUUAUCUGUAGAGGCUAGAAGCCAGGUAUACAAAGCUUCAAACUUCCAAGCCAAGCUUCCAACCCAUAGG
ensembl:lncRNA